AGUGAACGCUGGCGGUAGGCCUAACACAUGCAAGUCGAACGGCAGCACAGUAAGAGCUUGCUCUUACGGGUGGCGAGUGGCGGACGGGUGAGGAAUACAUCGGAAUCUACUUUUUCGUGGGGGAUAACGUAGGGAAACUUACGCUAAUACCGCAUACGACCUACGGGUGAAAGCAGGGGAUCUUCGGACCUUGCGCGAUUGAAUGAGCCGAUGUCGGAUUAGCUAGUUGGCGGGGUAAAGGCCCACCAAGGCGACGAUCCGUAGCUGGUCUGCGAGGAUGAUCAGCGACACUGGGACUGAGACACGGUCCAGACUCCUACGGGAGGCAGCAGUGGGGAAUAUUGGACAAUGGGCGCAAGCCUGAUCCAGCCAUACCGCGUGGGUGAAGAAGGCCUUCGGGUUUUAAAGCCCUUUUGUUGGGAAAGAAAAGCAGCAGGUUAAUACCCCGCUGUUCUGACGGUACCCAAAGAAUAAGCACCGGCUAACUUCGUG
rnacentral:rRNA from 1 species